UACAACGAAACUGCGAAUGGCUCGGUAAAACAGCAAUAAUUUAUUCGGGGGUAACUGCUACUUGGAUAACCGUAGUAAAGCUAGAGCUAAUACGUGCUACAAAGGCGAGUUUUCGCUCGUGGUGCUAAGUAUUAGGUACAAGCCAAUUUUUUUGGUGAUUCAUACUUAUUUUCUGAUCACACUCUGUGUGACGCCCCGAAUAAAUUUCUGACCUAUCAACUAUGAUGGUAAGGUAGUGUCUUACCAUGGUUGUGACGGGUAACGGACCGUGGGUGCGGGAUUCCGGAGAGGGAGCCUGAGAAACGGCUACCACAUCCAAGGAAGGCAGCAGGCGCGCAACUUACCCAAUCCGAACUUCGGGAGGUAGUGACAAAAAAUAUCAAUAGGGGGACCAAUGGUCUUCCUAAUUGGAAUGAAAACAACCUAAACACCUUAUUGAGGAACCAGCAGAGGGCAAGUCUGGUGCCAGCAGCCGCGGUAAUUCCAGCUCUGUAAGCGUAUACCAAAGUUGUUGCAGUUAAAACGCUCGUAGUCGAACUUUGGCGCCAGAUACGGAGACUCCUACUGGACGUUGACGUAUCUACGCCUUUGUGGAGGGGGGUGCGGUGGUGCUUUAUUGUAUCGCUGUAUUUCCGCCACUUUUUACUGUGAAAAAAUUAGAGUGUUCAAAGCGAGCGUUUGCCAUGAAUACAUUAGCAUGGAAUAAUAGAAUAGGACCUGGUCCUGUUUUAUUGGUUUGUCAGUAUCAGGUAAUGAUUAACAGGGACGGUCGGGGGCAUUUGUAUUCCAGCGCUAGAGGUGAAAUUCUUGGAUUGCUGGAAGACAAACAGCUGCGAAAGCGUCUGCCAAGGACGUUUUCAUUGAUCAAGAACGAAAGUAAGGGGAUCGAAGACGAUCAGAUACCGUCGUAGUCUUUACUAUAAACUUUGAGAACUAGGACAUCGGACGUGGCCUUAUUGGUACGUUCGGCACCUUCCGGGAAACCAAAGUGUUUGCUUUCUGGGGGGAGUAUGGUCGCAAGUCUGAAACUUAAAGGAAUUGACGGAAGGGCAUCACCGGGUGUGGAGCCUGCGGCUUAAUUUGACUCAACACGGGAAAACUUACCAGGUCCAGACAUAGUAAGGAUUGACAGAUUGAGAGCUCUUUCUUGAUUCUAUGGUUGGUG
rnacentral:rRNA from 1 species